rnacentral:lncRNA from 1 species
GUGGUUCCAUAAUGGGUGAUGAGUGUAUUGAUGUGGAUGUUCAAGACAUCAUCCAACAUAAUAAUAGGAAUCAAAAUGAGGAUUGUUAGCAUGAAGAUUGUAAUAGCAGUAGUAACAAGGGUCGAAGAUCUUUCUUUCCAUUUCGUUAUUGUAGGGUAUAAAAAACCGCAUUACUUCCUCUUGAGAAUGGUGUUUAAUAAUACUAUAAUGUAAACUUGUAAUGUGAAGUGAUGUGGUAAUUUGAUUUUCAUUCUUUUUUCUUUAUGUUGCGUUCAAAAUUUCCAUUCCAGUUAUGUCGGUAAGGAGUGACAGAAACGAUAUGAGGAAAAUAAGAUGUAUUGCUUUCAUAGAGCUGGUAUGUGAUACUGUCAAAAAAGAAUUGCUUUUUGUCUAUCAAUUGUCAUUACUUAAAAUCACAAAUGAAAGCAAAUGAUUACUUGCACGCACACAACUUUCAUUCAUGUUCAAUUCAUGGUCCCUCUGUUCUUACUUUGAGUGUCACCUGGGCCAAGGGAUUUUGAAGGGGCAAGAAGUGAAGAAAGCAGGGUAGGUAAUCAUUGGAAGGCAGAGCAUACAGGGACAAAGAGAAUGAGAAGCCACUAGGAAAUUAUAUCACAACAUUAAGUGUGGUUUUACUUUCUUUGUUUUUCUUUUUGAAGCCAACUUGGUAUGGUUUAUGUUUUAACUUAGAGAGAGGAAGAAGAAAGAAAGAUCAGAGAGGAAGAAGAAGGAAAUAGUGGUUUUUAAAAAUUGAUGUUUACGUUUUUUUAAUUACAUCCCUAUGUAAAAAUAUGUUUUUGGUUUUAGUCCCUCUACUUAAUCCAGUUGGCAACUGUUGCCAUAUCAGCAUGUGCCACGUAGGCGUCCAUUAGUCAGCAAAGCAUUUCUUUCACGGAACCUGACAGCAGGAACAAGUUCCAAAACGUAUGGUAAUUACAAGGGCUAUUUCGCAAGAAAAAAACUUACACGAACUUAAACCAAAAAUGCGUCAACUUACAAGGACCUUUUACUUAUUUAAGCCAAGAUUUUAUUUGAAUCCUCUCAUUCUCUCAUUCUUCCUCCUUCCACUGAUACAUCUAUCUCUUUUUAAAUAUUAGAGAGAAGAUCAAGAGGAAAAAAAAAAAUUAAAUAAGAAGAUCAAGAGAGAGAUAAAAACAAAUUUUAAAAGAAGGGAAGGAGAGAAUGAGAGGAUAUUAAAUUACCUAUUUUUUGCUAAUAACUAAUUAUACUAGGAAACUUAACCGGCCCUUUAGUGCAAUCUCCC